UGGGGAAUAUUGGACAAUGGGCGAAAGCCUGAUCCAGCAAUGCCGCGUGAGUGAUGAAGGCCUUAGGGUUGUAAAGCUCUUUUACCCGGGAUGAUAAUGACAGUACCGGGAGAAUAAGCCCCGGCUAACUCCGUGCCAGCAGCCGCGGUAAUACGGAGGGGGCUAGCGUUGUUCGGAAUUACUGGGCGUAAAGCGCACGUAGGCGGCUUUGUAAGUUAGAGGUGAAAGCCCAGGGCUCAACCCUGGAAUUGCCUUUAAGACUGCAUCGCUUGAACAUCGGAGAGGUAAGUGGAAUUCCGAGUGUAGAGGUGAAAUUCGUAGAUAUUCGGAAGAACACCAGUGGCGAAGGCGACUUACUGGACGAUUGUUGACGCUGAGGUGCGAAAGCGUGGGGAGCAAACAGG
rnacentral:rRNA from 3 species